rnacentral:rRNA from 1 species
CCUACGGGAGGCAGCAGUGGGGAAUAUUGCACCAUGGGGGAAACCCUGCUGCAGCGCCGCCGCGUGAGUGAAGAAGUAAUUCGUUACGUAACGCUCUAUCAGCAGGGAAGAAAAUGACGGUACCUGAGUAAGAAGCACCGUCUAACUACGUGCCAGCAGCCGCGGUAAUACGGAGGGGGCAAGCGUUAUCCGGAUUUAAUGGGUGUAAAGGGAGCUUAGACGGUGCGCCAAGUCUGGAGUGAAAUGCCGGAGCUUAACUGGUGAACUGCUUUGGAAACUGGCGACCUAGAGUGCGGGAGGGGUAAGCGGAAUUCCUAGUGUAGCGGUGAAAUGCGUAGAUAUUAGGAGGAACGCCGGUGGCGAAGGCGGCUUACUGGACCGUAACGGACGUUGAGGCUCGAAAGCGUGGGGAGCAAACAGGAUUAGAUACCCUAGUAGUC